UUCAAUACUAUUGCUUGCAAUGGUGUGCACUUUUCUCUUAGUAAGACGUUGUGAUCCAUUAGGAAUCGAAUGUGUAUUAUGCGCAUUCAAUAGGUUGCCAAUAGGCCGGUAUUGAAGUUCACAUUGAUAAACAAUUCAAUCUUUUGGUUGGGUAUAUUGUCUUGUGAGCGUACCGUGUUCUGAUGUAACUGUCUGAUGGAUAUUAAAGAUCAUAUCAUUGAAGCUUGCUUCACCCAAUUCGUUGGGCAUUUCCGAUAUGUAUCCGAUCAACAACGGUCUCAUUUGGGAUACCUUUGGGACCCGUCUUGAAACACGGACCAAGGAGUCUAUCUAGUAUGCAAGUAAAUGAGAUAUAGAAACUUAUUUGCGUAAAAAACUUGACUGUAAUAUAAUGGGAUUACAUGCAUUUCACUUUGCAUCUCCAUCCCGGGGUAUUUACACAACAUAUAUGGGCAACUAUAUAUAGUAAAUAUACCAUGAGCAUACUGGACAUGACCCGAAAGAUGGUGAACUAUGCCUGAUCAGGUUGAAGUCAGGGGAAACCCUGAUGGAGGACCGAAGCAAUUCUGACGUGCAAAUCG
rnacentral:rRNA from 1 species